rnacentral:rRNA from 1 species
UCCAGACUCCUACGGGAGGCAGCAGUGAGGAAUAUUGGUCAAUGGGCGGGAGCCUGAACCAGCCAAGUCGCGUGAGGGAAGACGGUCCUACGGAUUGUAAACCUCUUUUGCCGGGGAGCAACGGGGUCCUUGCGAGGGCCCGAUGAGAGUACCCGGAGAAAAAGCAUCGGCUAACUCCGUGCCAGCAGCCGCGGUAAUACGGAGGAUGCGAGCGUUAUCCGGAUUUAUUGGGUUUAAAGGGUGCGUAGGCGGAACAUUAAGUCAGCGGUAAAAUCGAGGGGCUCAACCCCUUUAAGCCGUUGAAACUGGUGAUCUUGAGUGGGCGAGAAGUAUGCGGAAUGCGUGGUGUAGCGGUGAAAUGCAUAGAUAUCACGCAGAACUCCGAUUGCGAAGGCAGCAUACCGGCGCCCGACUGACGCUGAGGCACGAAAGCGUGGGGAUCGAACAGGAUUAGAUACCCUAGUAGAA